rnacentral:rRNA from 1 species
AGAGUUUGAUCCUGGCUCAGAUUGAACGCUGGCGGCAGGCCUAACACAUGCAAGUCGAACGGUAACAGGAAGAAGCUUGCUUCUUUGCUGACGAGUGGCGGACGGGUGAGUAAUGUCUGGGAAACUGCCUGAUGGAGGGGGAUAACUACUGGAAACGGUAGCUAAUACCGCAUAACGUCGCAAGACCAAAAAGGGGGACCUUCGGGCCUCUUGCCAUCGGAUGUGCCCAGAUGGGAUUAGCUAGUAGGUGGGGUAACGGCUCACCUAGGCGACGAUCCCUAGCUGGUCUGAGAGGAUGACCAGCCACGCUGGAACUGAGACACGGUCCAGACUCCUACGGGAGGCAGCAGUGGGGAAUAUUGCACAAUGGGCGCAAGCCUGAUGCGGCCAUGCCGCGUGUAUGAAGAAGGCCUUCGGGUUGUAAAGUACUUUCAGCGGGGAGGAAGGGAGUAAAGUUAAUACCUUUGCUCAUUGACGUUACCCGCAGAAGAAGCACCGGCUAACUCCGUGCCAGCAGCCGCGGUAAUACGGAGGGUGCAAGCGUUAAUCGGAAUUACUGGGCGUAAAGCGCACGCAGGCGGUUUGUUAAGUCAGAUGUGAAAUCCCCGGGCUCAACCUGGGAACUGCAUCUGAUACUGGCAAGCUUGAGUCUCGUAGAGGGGGGUAGAAUUCCAGGUGUAGCGGUGAAAUGCGUAGA